UGAGGAAUAUUGGGCAAUGCCCGAAAGGGUGACCCAGCAACGCCGCGUGGAGGAUGAUGGUCGUAAGAUUGUAAACUCCUGUUAGAGGGGAAGAAUAACUAAGUUUGGAGCUUAGUAUGACUGUACCCUCAGAGAAAGCCCCGGCUAACUACGUGCCAGCAGCCGCGGUAAUACGUAGGGGGCAAGCGUUGUCCGGAUUUACUGGGUGUAAAGGGCGCGCAGGCGGAAUGGAAAGUCAGUGGUGAAAUCCUACAGCUUAACUGUAGAACUGCCUUUGAUACUUUCAGGCUUGAUUUCGGGAGAGAGACGGAAUUCCAGGUGUAGGGGUGAAAUACGUAGAUAUCAGGAGGAACACCGGCGGUGUAGACGGCUUGCUAGACCAUAACUGACGCUGAGGCACGAAAGCGUGGGUAGCAAAC
rnacentral:rRNA from 1 species